GUCUGAAUAGUUUAGUGGUAAGAGCAGUUGCCCGGAAAGCGAAAAACUUAGAUUCGAUUCCCUAUUCAGAAA
rnacentral:tRNA from 1 species